AAGGCAGCCAUCUGCAAGCCAGGAGGAGGGCUGUCACCGGAACCUGACCAUGCUGGCACCCCAAUCUCGGACUUCCUAGCCUCUAGCACCGUGAGAAAGAGACUUCUGCUGUAACAGUGCUAGGUCAUCCCCACCGGUCAGUGGGGUGCACUGGAGCUGACAGAGGCUCAGCUGUCUUUAACUGGUGGCUUCCAAGCUUGCCCUGGUGGUCAUCUGCGUUCCAGCCAGCUGCAAGGGGCAAAGGGCAAGAUGGGUCAAGCAUGCGAGGUUUUGAUGGCCCAGGCUCAGUCACAUGGCUGCUCCUAUCCACAAGGAAGGCUGGGACAGGUGGACAGCCAUGUGCCCGAGAAGAGGAGAGCUAAGAAGAGAGAGGGGAAGCCAUCUGCCCGGAGAGCCGCUUUGUGUUCCAUAGAGAGGCCUGUGUGGCAAGGAGCUGAGGAACUGGCCAGUGUCUGGCCAGCACCCAGGAAGGAAUUAAGGUCCUCAGUCCAAAAAUCCAUGAGGACCUGGGGCCUGCCCACACGCCUGUGAGUGAGCUGAGAAGGGGAUUCUCCCCUAGUUAAGCCUUCAGAUAGGACUGCAGCCACAACCACAAGCUUCCCUCCUCCCAGACGGUGAUCAGAACCACCCAGCUAACCCGCUCCCAGCUUCCUACCCUCAGAAAC